rnacentral:lncRNA from 1 species
UUUUUUUUUUUUUUUUUAGAUUCUCCCUUGACAAGGUUAGCAUUUUUUCUUUAAGACAAAAUUGAUCAUCUUUUAGGUCACUUCCUGUAGAAAUAUGGACUAACUUAAACCUCGUUUUACUGCGAUCACUGCAACAAACCCCAUUUGGCUUAUAAAGACUCGGCUGCAGCUUGAUGCAAGGAAUCGUGGGGAGAAACGAAUGGGUGCUUUUGAAUGUGUUCGUAAAGUAUAUCAGACAGACGGACUGAGAGGAUUUUAUAGGGGCAUGUCUGCCUCAUAUGCUGGCAUAUCAGAGACAGUUAUCCAUUUUGUUAUUUAUGAAAGUAUAAAGCAAAAGCUACUGGAGUGUAAGACUGCUUCUAUGAUGGAGACUGACGAGGAGUCUGUGAAGGAAGCAUCGGAUUUUGUGAGAAUGAUGCUAGCUGCUGCCACAUCAAAAACCUGUGCCACAACCGUCGCAUAUCCACACGAAGUUGUAAGAACAAGACUACGUGAAGAAGGGACAAAAUACAGAUCUUUUUUUCAGACACUGUCUUUGAUUGUUCAAGAAGAAGGCUAUGGGUCUCUUUACCGUGGCCUAACAACUCAUCUGGUGAGACAGAUUCCAAACACAGCCAUUAUGAUGGCCACCUACGAACUGGUGGUCUACCUACUCAACGGAUAGCAGCAGGGGCUGCCGUGCUGCAGAGCAGGAAGACCAAACGAUCACAGUGGACCAUGGAAUAUUGAAGCCAGCAUGGUGGUCAGAAGACAGUAGUGGGGAAACAUGUAACUACUGUGGCUGAGUGGAAGUUUGGUUUUAGGAAGUAAGGUACUACCACACCACAUUGAUCUUUCAGUGAGGACACCCUGGGCUGCCUCUUAGAGAAUGCUUUGAAAAGCAUUCCUAUCUCAAAAUUGCCAUUUUCUCUACUAUUCACCAGCUCCAGAUUUGUUUUACUGGUUUAUGACAGUCAGAAUAUAGUGUUAAUUCCAUGAGCAUUUUUGGUUGUUUAGACAAAAUCAUUCCUCAGUAUAUACUGUACUGUAAUUUUCCAAAAAUGACAGUGACAAUUACAGAUGACUAACCGGACUUCUCCUGCAGUACUGUAAAAGAACAAGUAGAUCUCGAUAUCCCAGUUCCCUAGAAGGGCCUGCCUGUUACAGUGUUUUAAGUUAUUUGACACCAGUAAUCACUGUGUUUUGACAACCAGUGAAAUAGUGUCUAAAUACUUCACAUUUUCAACAUUAAAAUGUUUUGGUCACAGCUAAAAGGUAUUCAUCAUAAUGUGGACUUUAACACAUCAGAUGC